UCAGAGUGAACGCUGGCGGCGUGCUUAACACAUGCAAGUCGAACGAGAACGGAUUAUAGCUUGCUAUAAUUGUCAGCUAAGUGGCGCACGGGUGAGUAAUGUAUAGGUAAUAUGCCUCUUACUAAGGGAUAACAAAUGGAAACGUUUGCUAAUACCUUAUACUCCUUAUUAACAGAAGUUAAUAAGGGAAGAUUUAUUGGUAAGAGAUUAGCCUGUAUUGUAUCAGUUAGUUGGUGGGGUAAUGGCUUACCAAGACUAUGACACAUAACUGGUUUUGAGAGGAUGAUCAGUCACACUGGAACUGAGACACGGUCCAGACUCCUAUGGGAGGCAGCAGUGGGGAAUAUUGCACAAUGGACGAAAGUCUGAUGCAGCAACGCCGCGUGGAGGAUGAUACAUUUUGGUGUGUAAACUCCUUUUAUAUGAGAAGAUAAUGACGGUAUUAUAUGAAUAAGCACCGGUUAAUUUUGUGUUAGUAGUUGUGGUAAUACGGGG
rnacentral:rRNA from 1 species